rnacentral:tRNA from 1 species
GGCAUAAUCAUGCAGCAUUGGUAGAGCGUUAGACUAUAGAUCGAAAGGUCCUCGGUUCGAUCCCGGGUUCCGGCA